rnacentral:rRNA from 1 species
GUGGGGAAUCUUGCGCAAUGGGCGAAAGCCUGACGCAGCCAUGCCGCGUGAAUGAUGAAGGUCUUAGGAUUGUAAAAUUCUUUCACCGGGGACGAUAAUGACGGUACCCGGAGAAGAAGCCCCGGCUAACUUCGUGCCAGCAGCCGCGGUAAUACGAAGGGGGCUAGCGUUGCUCGGAAUUACUGGGCGUAAAGGGCGCGUAGGCGGACAGUUUAGUCAGAGGUGAAAGCCCAGGGCUCAACCUUGGAAUUGCCUUUGAUACUGGCUGUCUUGAGUUUGGGAGAGGUGAGUGGAACUCCGAGUGUAGAGGUGAAAUUCGUAGAUAUUCGGAGGAACACCAGUGGCGAAGGCGGCUCACUGGCUCGAUACUGACGCUGAGGUGCGAAAGCGUGGGGAGCAAACAGGAUUAGAAACCCUUGUAGUCC